rnacentral:rRNA from 1 species
GACGAACGCUGGCGGCGUGCUUAACACAUGCAAGUCGAACGGAAAGGCCCUGCUUUUGUGGGGUGCUCGAGUGGCGAACGGGUGAGUAACACGUGAGUAACCUGCCCUUGACUUUGGGAUAACUUCAGGAAACUGGGGCUAAUACCGGAUAGGAGCUCCUGCUUCAUGGUGGGGGUUGGAAAGUUUCGGCGGUUGGGGAUGGACUCGCGGCUUAUCAGCUUGUUGGUGGGGUAGUGGCUUACCAAGGCUUUGACGGGUAGCCGGCCUGAGAGGGUGACCGGCCACAUUGGGACUGAGAUACGGCCCAGACUCCUACGGGAGGCAGCAGUGGGGAAUAUUGCACAAUGGGCGGAAGCCUGAUGCAGCAACGCCGCGUGCGGGAUGACGGCCUUCGGGUUGUAAACCGCUUUCGCCUGUGACGAAGCGUGAGUGACGGUAAUGGGUAAAGAAGCACCGGCUAACUACGUG